rnacentral:lncRNA from 1 species
GUCAGCCACCACCCUUCCCAACCCCACAAGCUCAAGGUGCACAGUGGGCUUCUGGCUGGCCCAAGCCCCUGCUUCUCCUCCCCUGAGCUUCCAGAGCCAGUACGCCCCUCACCAGACAAGGGGCUCUCCCCCCGACUCUGGGCACCAGUGUCAUUUGUGCUGACCUUGCCUCCCCAGGCUUGGCACCCAGGCAGGUGGAUGGGCCCUCCGGGGACCCUUACUUCUUCCCCUUUGCUUUUCCUUCCUGACCAUCCACAUGACUGGCCAUCUCUUCCCCUACCUAGACAUGUUUAGACCAGCUGCUGGCCAGCUGAGGGUCCAUGUUUCAGACACUCCAUCCUGGGGCCGAUCGCUCCCCAGCAUCGUCACCACAGGAGACAGGUGCCAGGUGCUUGAAAGCCAGUCUGCCACACGAGGGUGACACCAGUGGGCAGGUGCUCCGGCUGCCUCCUCCUGACACAGGGAUGAUUUGGUCAGUGUCCAGCUGAGGGAUUCUGUGGGACUGAGAUGGCUUUCUAAUGUGUUGGUCUGCCUGAGGAGCUGUCCCAAUGUAACUGUUAUCCCUAAAAGUCCACCGUAAAAGUUCUUUAACAGAGAAACAUAUGGGGGCUGGGGACGUAGCUCAGUUGGUAGAGUGCCUGCCUCACAUGCACAAGGCCCUGGGUUCCAUCCUCAGCACCACCAAAAAAAAAAAAAAGAAAGUGAAAUAUACUUAGCCCGUGACCACGCAUGGUGCCUGUAACCAGGCAGGGCCUGAAAGUGCUCCGAGGACACUCCACCCUGUCCCUCCUAGCCUGUGAGCUUCCCAUCUCUCAAAGUUCUCAGAAAGGUAACACACUGGGUAGAAUAUUCAAGAACAAAAUCUUUAAAACUCAGCUUUAUUUGUGCUACUUUAUAAGCUUCAUAAUACAUUCUAUCUGUGGUUUUUAAAUCAAAUUUAUUUUUAACUGAUACAUAAAAACAAAAUCAUGUACACAUGCCUGAGAAAACCCAGACACAACGUGACGCUUGUGAGAUUGUGUGCCCCUGUGGCCUGAGCCAGCUUCCUGGGUGCCAACAUCAGUGUUCUCUCCCCUUCCCGGAUGAGAAAACAGGCACAGAGGUUCCACAGCUGCCCAGCUGCGCGUGCCCACCUGGUGGGGCUUCUACCCAAACAAGGUGGCUCGCAUUGGGUCUGGAUUUUCUCAGACAGUGGAAGCCUGCACGGCCACAGUCCUGCUGACCAAGCACCCAGGGAGGCCCAGACUGCACCUGCCCCAUCCAGUGGUCAGCGCUGCAGCAGGACCUGGCUCUCCACCCCCCUGUCGGAACUGGACACUGUGAGGACAACAGGCAUUUGCCAAGGACAGUGCUCACAGAAGCCUUCUCGCUUCUGCGGCCUCCGUCUGCUCCUGCUCGCCUCAGCCCGUGGCCGGAGCAGCUGGAGCAGGGCUCUUGUGGGUGACACGGCUCCAGGCCUUAUUCUCACCAUCUCCAUCUUCACCGACGACCAUUAAAGUAAAAUCCAGUGCCCAUCUGGAAAGCCCUCCUCCAGCUCCUCGUUCCUAAGUUAGGGCCUACUCUGUGUCUUCAGGGAAUAUUUCUCUGCUAGCCAAGCAGGGCAUUGCUCACAAGAGGAGGUGUGGGGUCAGCUCCUAUUUAAAGUCCG